GAUGAACGCUGGCGGCGUGCCUAAUACAUGCAAGUCGAGCGAACGGACGAGAAGCUUGCUUCUCUGAUGUUAGCGGCGGACGGGUGAGUAACACGUGGAUAACCUACCUAUAAGACUGGGAUAACUUCGGGAAACCGUAGCUAAUACCGGAUAAUAUUUUGAACCGCAUGGUUCAAAGGUGAAAGACGGUCUUGCUGUCACUUAUAGAUGGAUCCGCGCUGCAUUAGCUAGUUGGUAAGGUAACGGCUUACCAAGGCAACGAUGCAUAGCCGACCUGAGAGGGUGAUCGGCCACACUGGAACUGAGACACGGUCCAGACUCCUACGGGAGGCAGCAGUAGGGAAUCUUCCGCAAUGGGCGAAAGCCUGACGGAGCAACGCCGCGUGAGUGAUGAAGGUCUUCGGAUCGUAAAACUCUGUUAAUAGGGAAGAACAUAUGUGUAAGUAACUGUGCACAUCUUGACGGUACCUAAUCAGAAAGCCACGGCUAACUACGUG
rnacentral:rRNA from 1 species